UUAAGCGACUAAGCGUACACGGUGGAUGCCCUGGCAGUCAGAGGCGAUGAAGGACGUGCUAAUCUGCGAUAAGCGUCGGUAAGGUGAUAUGAACCGUUAUAACCGGCGAUUUCCGAAUGGGGAAACCCAGUGUGAUUCGUCACACUAUCAUUAACUGAAUCCAUAGGUUAAUGAGGCGAACCGGGGGAACUGAAACAUCUAAGUACCCCGAGGAAAAGAAAUCAACCGAGAUUCCCCCAGUAGCGGCGAGCGAACGGGGAGGAGCCCAGAGUCUGAAUCAGUGUGUGUGUUAGUGGAAGCGUCUGGAAAGGCGCGCGAUACAGGGUGACAGCCCCGUACACAAAAAUGCACAUACUGUGAGCUCGAUGAGUAGGGCGGGACACGUGGUAUCCUGUCUGAAUAUGGGGGGACCAUCCUCCAAGGCUAAAUACUCCUGACUGACCGAUAGUGAACCAGUACCGUGAGGGAAAGGCGAAAAGAACCCCGGCGAGGGGAGUGAAAAAGAACCUGAAACCGUGUACGUACAAGCAGUGGGAGCACGCUUAGGCGUGUGACUGCGUACCUUUUGUAUAAUGGGUCAGCGACUUAUAUUCUGUAGCAAGGUUAACCGAAUAGGGGAGCCGAAGGGAAACCGAGUCUUAACUGGGCGUUAAGUUGCAGGGUAUAGACCCGAAACCCGGUGAUCUAGCCAUGGGCAGGUUGAAGGUUGGGUAACACUAACUGGAGGACCGAACCGACUAAUGUUGAAAAAUUAGCGGAUGACUUGUGGCUGGGGGUGAAAGGCCAAUCAAACCGGGAGAUAGCUGGUUCUCCCCGAAAGCUAUUUAGGUAGCGCCUCGUGAAUUCAUCUCCGGGGGUAGAGCACUGUUUCGGCAAGGGGGUCAUCCCGACUUACCAACCCGAUGCAAACUGCGAAUACCGGAGAAUGUUAUCACGGGAGACACACGGCGGGUGCUAACGUCCGUCGUGAAGAGGGAAACAACCCAGACCGCCAGCUAAGGUCCCAAAGUCAUGGUUAAGUGGGAAACGAUGUGGGAAGGCCCAGACAGCCAGGAUGUUGGCUUAGAAGCAGCCAUCAUUUAAAGAAAGCGUAAUAGCUCACUGGUCGAGUCGGCCUGCGCGGAAGAUGUAACGGGGCUAAACCAUGCACCGAAGCUGCGGCAGCGACGCUUAUGCGUUGUUGGGUAGGGGAGCGUUCUGUAAGCCUGUGAAGGUGUGCUGUGAGGCAUGCUGGAGGUAUCAGAAGUGCGAAUGCUGACAUAAGUAACGAUAAAGCGGGUGAAAAGCCCGCUCGCCGGAAGACCAAGGGUUCCUGUCCAACGUUAAUCGGGGCAGGGUGAGUCGACCCCUAAGGCGAGGCCGAAAGGCGUAGUCGAUGGGAAACAGGUUAAUAUUCCUGUACUUGGUGUUACUGCGAAGGGGGGACGGAGAAGGCUAUGUUGGCCGGGCGACGGUUGUCCCGGUUUAAGCGUGUAGGCUGGUUUUCCAGGCAAAUCCGGAAAAUCAAGGCUGAGGCGUGAUGACGAGGCACUACGGUGCUGAAGCAACAAAUGCCCUGCUUCCAGGAAAAGCCUCUAAGCAUCAGGUAACAUCAAAUCGUACCCCAAACCGACACAGGUGGUCAGGUAGAGAAUACCAAGGCGCUUGAGAGAACUCGGGUGAAGGAACUAGGCAAAAUGGUGCCGUAACUUCGGGAGAAGGCACGCUGAUAUGUAGGUGAAGUCCCUUGCGGAUGGAGCUGAAAUCAGUCGAAGAUACCAGCUGGCUGCAACUGUUUAUUAAAAACACAGCACUGUGCAAACACGAAAGUGGACGUAUACGGUGUGACGCCUGCCCGGUGCCGGAAGGUUAAUUGAUGGGGUCAGCGCAAGCGAAGCUCUUGAUCGAAGCCCCGGUAAACGGCGGCCGUAACUAUAACGGUCCUAAGGUAGCGAAAUUCCUUGUCGGGUAAGUUCCGACCUGCACGAAUGGCGUAAUGAUGGCCAGGCUGUCUCCACCCGAGACUCAGUGAAAUUGAACUCGCUGUGAAGAUGCAGUGUACCCGCGGCAAGACGGAAAGACCCCGUGAACCUUUACUAUAGCUUGACACUGAACAUUGAGCCUUGAUGUGUAGGAUAGGUGGGAGGCUUUGAAGUGUGGACGCCAGUCUGCAUGGAGCCGACCUUGAAAUACCACCCUUUAAUGUUUGAUGUUCUAACGUGGACCCGUGAUCCGGGUUGCGGACAGUGUCUGGUGGGUAGUUUGACUGGGGCGGUCUCCUCCUAAAGAGUAACGGAGGAGCACGAAGGUUGGCUAAUCCUGGUCGGACAUCAGGAGGUUAGUGCAAUGGCAUAAGCCAGCUUGACUGCGAGCGUGACGGCGCGAGCAGGUGCGAAAGCAGGUCAUAGUGAUCCGGUGGUUCUGAAUGGAAGGGCCAUCGCUCAACGGAUAAAAGGUACUCCGGGGAUAACAGGCUGAUACCGCCCAAGAGUUCAUAUCGACGGCGGUGUUUGGCACCUCGAUGUCGGCUCAUCACAUCCUGGGGCUGAAGUAGGUCCCAAGGGUAUGGCUGUUCGCCAUUUAAAGUGGUACGCGAGCUGGGUUUAGAACGUCGUGAGACAGUUCGGUCCCUAUCUGCCGUGGGCGCUGGAGAACUGAGGGGGGCUGCUCCUAGUACGAGAGGACCGGAGUGGACGCAUCACUGGUGUUCGGGUUGUCAUGCCAAUGGCACUGCCCGGUAGCUAAAUGCGGAAGAGAUAAGUGCUGAAAGCAUCUAAGCACGAAACUUGCCCCGAGAUGAGUUCUCCCUGACUCCUUGAGAGUCCUGAAGGAACGUUGAAGACGACGACGUUGAUAGGCCGGGUGUGUAAGCGCAGCGAUGCGUUGAGCUAACCGGUACUAAUGAACCGUGAGGCUUAACCUU
rnacentral:rRNA from 1 species